CUUCUGGUUUAGUAUUUCCAUGGGUGGGGACAAAACAAGUAAAAACCCAUGAGAUUAUAUGACUGUUUAGCGAAGUUCAGCCCGAGAUGAAUGUGAUGAAAGUGUCAGUCGAGUGAAAUAGAGGGCGAAGCGUGAGAGCUGAGCUAGUGGACAUCUGACGGCAACAGAGGAACAACUCCUCCUUCACUGAUUCCCCCCUCCUUAUUUCCUCUGGAGGUUUUUGGCAUAUAAGGCAGAAAAAAUUUGUUUACAACAGACUGGAUGUAGAACACGGAGGACGUAACACAGAGGACCUUGUGAGAUACUGAAAAAACCUGCUUCACCCCCUCAGAAAAAUGGCUGUCAGCACUGCCCAAGUGGGCAACCUCUCCAUCUCCACCCAAGUGAUUCCAGCAGGUGAGAACAAUAUUCCAGGACUUUCCGCUCUGCCUUCAACUAAGAGCUGGACUCAUGCGCUUUCUCAGAAGAAAAAACAGCCCAUUAAGUCGCUGAGUGCCGUGAUCAUCCUCAUUGGGGUGCUGCACUUGUGUGUUGGGGUCUCCAUGUACGUGGCUGAGAAGAAUUACCUGUCACUUGUCUCACGCAGUGGAGCCUUUUUGAUUAGUUUAGUGUUUAUCGCCACUGGAAUCAUCACGGUGGUCUUUGCAAAUGAGGAAAGUAUUUUCAAUAUAAAAAUGUGUCUUAUCAGCCACGUGAUAAACGCCACUUCUGCCGCCAUUGGAAUUGUUUUAUAUGCAAUCCAGGUGCAUACAGAUGCUAACACAUGUUGGACACGCGAGAACUCUACGCCCAACCGCUGCAUUCCGAGUGAUUCAGCUACUUCCUCUCCGGAUUACUAUGGCUACGGGAAUUAUUUCUACAGUUUUGAUAGCUAUGUUCAUACUCUGCGUGUGUCGUUGAACGCUCUGAUACUCUUUUAUAUUAAGGUUGGCCUCACCAUUUCAAGCUGCAUCAUAUUUUUGAAAUGGAAGUCACUCAAAAAAGCCAGAUACACCUUGCUUGGAAACUAAAAUCCGCAGGGAUGGAAGAGGAUACCACAGAUUAUUGCCAUAUACAAAGUGUGUAUUAGGUUUUGUAUGGCAAUAGUGAUGUCAUCAAGGAGCAGUGACAUCCUCGCCCCCCUGAGAACUAAACCACACCUCUCAGUACCACAUCCUUCUUGGACAAAUAUGCAAAUGGUUAACAGAGACACUAACUCCUUCCAGAAAGAAAACCACCGAGCCUCCUCAGAAAUAUUGGGACAGAGUUAUGCAAGCUUCUCACAUCAACCAAUCACAGUGCAGCUUUCAUCUCUUAGACUGCUUUGGUGAAACUAAAGCCGAGCUCUGAUUGGCUGCUAUGGGUAUCGAAGACAAUUUUGGUAAAUGAGGUCUAAUUGCUUCUAAGAGAUGUUAGAGCAGGCCAUGAUGAUUGCCUGCUCAUUGCUACUGUAUGGGGAUGAAUGACCAGUACUACGAUCGUUCUUCGCCAUACAGUUCCAUCGUUUGUCGGCAGUGUUGCCCGUUUAAACAGGGCAAUGCGCUGCUGAAAAGCGACAAUUUUUUCUGCCACAUAAAAGAUGUGAAAACCUGAUAAACAGGAGUUUUUGUAUAAGGGAAUCAGCAGUAGCUUUACAUAGGGCAAUUAUCAGGAAUGAAAGCUCAUUCCCAAUAAUUGCCCCGAUCUUUGGCCCCCCUUUCUGAUGACAACUACUAGAAGAACAUUUCCCCUAAAAUGAAGGAUUCAUCAGUAAACAUACGCCAUUGAUUUGUUAACUCUAAUGGACCCUUUCCUUACUAUAUUUGUAUGUGGGACAGCUUGGUGACAGCCCCUGGGAACUGUAAAGGGACCCUUACUCUGCUGCCACCCAGUUUUCCCAAAAACAGUUUUGGUAAGUGCUUGUUCUGUUAUUAACUUAUGCAGUAUUACAUGCUUUGUAUUCCUGUUAUGUGUUUAAUUAUGAGCAGAAUUUAUAAUCCUGACAAUGAUGAAAUGGUGACGGUAUUACCUCACAAUUCUGAUUGACCGACUUCUUAGGCAGAUGCUAUUUUUCUGUCUGCUUUAGGCUACAUUCACAUGUCCAGCAGCCUGAUCU